CGGCGAAUGGGUGAGUAACACGUACUCAACGUACCUCUUAGAUUGGGAUAGCGAACGGAAACGUUCGAUAAUACCAAAUACUUAUUAGUUUCGCAUGAAACUUAUAUAAAAGGAGCCUUUAAAGCUCCGCUGAGAGAUCGGGGUGCGCAACAUUAGCUAGUUGGUGAGGUAACGGCCCACCAAGGCGAUGAUGUUUAGCGGGGUUGAGAGACUGAACCGCCACACUGGGACUGAGAUACGGCCCAGACUCCUACGGGAGGCAGCAGUAGGGAAUAUUCCACAAUGAGCGAAAGCUUGAUGGAGCGACACAGCGUGCAGGAUGAAGGUCCUAUGGAUUGUAAACUGCUGUGGUAAGGGAAGAAAAAGUCAUAGAGGAAAUGCUAUGACAUUGACGGUACCUUAUUAGAAAGCAACGGCUAACUAUGUGCCAGCAGCCGCGGUAAUACAUAGGUUGCAAGCGUUAUCCGGAAUUAUUGGGCGUAAAGCGUCUGUAGGUUGUUUGUUAAGUCUGGCGUCAAAUUUUGGGGCUCAACCCCAAACCGCGUUGGAUACUGGCAAACUAGAGUUGUGUAGAGGUUAGCGGAAUUCCUUGUGAAGCGGUGAAAUGCGUAGAUAUAAGGAAGAACACCAUUUUGGCGAAGGCGGCUAACUGGGCAUAUACUGACACUGAGAGACGAAAGCGUGGGGAGCAAACAGGAUUAGAUACCCUGGUAGUCCACGCCCUAAACGAUGAUCAUUAGCUGAUGGAGAAUUCGUCGGCGCAGCUAACGCAUUAAAUGAUCCGCCUGAGUAGUACGUUCGCAAGAAUAAAACUUAAAGGAAUUGACGGGGAUCCGCACAAGCGGUGGAGCAUGUGGUUUAAUUUGAAGAUACGCGUAGAACCUUACCCACUCUUGACAU
rnacentral:rRNA from 1 species